UCGGGAAUUUUGGGCAAUGGGGGAAACCCUGACCCAGCAACGCCGCGUGAAGGAUGAAGUAUUUCGGUAUGUAAACUUCGAAAGAAUAGGAAGAAUAAAUGACGGUACUAUUUAUAAGGUCCGGCUAACUACGUGCCAGCAGCCGCGGUAAUACGUAGGGACCAAGCGUUGUUCGGAUUUACUGGGCGUAAAGGGCGCGUAGGCGGCAAUUCAAGUCAUCUGUGAAAUCUCCGGGCUUAACUCGGAACGGUCAGAUGAUACUGCUUUGCUAGAGUGCAGAAGGGGCAAUCGGAAUUCUUGGUGUAGCAGUGAAAUGCGUAGAUAUCGUGAGGAACACCAGAGGCGAAGGCGGCCACCUGGUUGGAUACUGACGCUGAGACGCGAAAGCGUGGGGAGCAAACAGGAUUAGAUACCCCCGUAGUCCCUGAGCGGGCUGGCAAGGCGCAU
rnacentral:rRNA from 1 species